rnacentral:rRNA from 1 species
GGACAACCUGCCCUCGGGUGGGGGAUAACCCCGGGAAACUGGGGCUAAUCCCCCAUAGGGGAUGGGUACUGGAAUGUCCCAUCUCCGAAAGCGCUUAGCGCCCGAGGAUGGGUCUGCGGCGGAUUAGGUUGUUGGUGGGGUAACGGCCCACCAAGCCGAAGAUCCGUACGGGCCAUGAGAGUGGGAGCCCGGAGAUGGACCCUGAGACACGGGUCCAGGCCCUACGGGGCGCAGCAGGCGCGAAACCUCCGCAAUGCGGGAAACCGCGACGGGGUCAGCCGGAGUGCUCGCGCAUCGCGCGGGCUGUCGGGGUGCCUAAAAAGCACCCCAUAGCAAGGGCCGGGCAAGGCCGGUGGCAGCCGCCGCGGUAAUACCGGCGGCCCGAGUGGCGGCCACUUUUAUUGGGCCUAAAGCGUCCGUAGCCGGGCUGGUAAGUCCUCCGGGAAAUCUGGUCGCUUAACGAUCAGACUGCCGGAGGAUACUGCCUGCCUAGGGACCGGGAGAGGCCGGGGGUAUUCCCGGGGUAGGGGUGAAAUCCUGUAAUCCCGGGAGGACCACCUGUGGCGAAGGCGCCCGGCUGGAACGGGUCCGACGGUGAGGGACGAAGGCCAGGGGAGCGAACCGGAUUAGAUACCCGGGUAGUCCUGGCUGUAAACGAUGCGGACUAGGUGUCACCGAAGCUACGAGCUUCGGUGGUGCCGGAGGGAAGCCGUUA